CCUACGGGGUGCAGCAGUGAGGAAUAUUGGUCAAUGGGCUUACGCCUGAACCAGCCAAGUCGCGUGAGGGAAGACUGCCCUAUGGGUUGUAAACCUCUUUUGUCAGGGAGCAACGCCUGCUACGUGUAGCCUGCCUGAGAGUACCUGAAGAAAAAGCAUCGGCUAACUCCGUGCCAGCAGCCGCGGUAAUACGGAGGAUUCGAGCGUUAUCCGGAUUUAUUGGGUUUAAAGGGUGCGUAGGCGGAAUGCCAAGUCAGCGGUAAAAUCGCGGGGCUCAACCUCGAUCCGCCGUUGAAACUGGCGUGCUGGAGUGGGCGAGAAGGAUGCGGAAUGCGUGGGGUAGAGGUGAAAUGCAUAGAUAUCACGCAGAACUCCGAUUGCGAAGGCAGCAUACCGGCGCCCAACUGACGCUGAAGCACGAAAGCGUGGGUAUCGAACAGGAUUAGAUACCCCAGUAGUC
rnacentral:rRNA from 1 species